CAGCAGCCGCGGUAAUACCGGCGGCCCGAGUGGCGGCCACUAUUAUUGGGCUUAAAGCGUCCGUAGCCGGGUUGGUUAGUCUCCCGGGAAAUCUGGCCGCUUAACGGUCAGAAUUCCGGGAGAUACUGCCAGCCUAGGGACCGGGAGAGGCCGAGGGUAUUCCCGGAGUAGGGGUGAAAUCCUAUAAUCCCGGGAGGACCACCUGUGGCGAAGGCGCUCGGCUGGAACGGGUCCGACGGUGAGGGACGAAGGCCAGGAGAGCAAACCGGAUUAGAUACCCGGGUAGUCCUGGCUGUAAACGAUGCGGACUUUGUGUCGGACAAGCUAUGAGCUUGUCCGGUGCCGGAGGGAAGCCGUUAAGUCCGCCGCCUGGGGAGUACGGCCGCAAGGCUGAAACUUAAAGGAAUUGGCGGG
rnacentral:rRNA from 1 species